AGAGUUUGAUCCUGGCUCAGAAUGAACGCUGGCGGCGUGCCUAACACAUGCAAGUCGUACGAGAAAGGGGCUUCGGCCCUGAGUAGAGUGGCGCACGGGUGAGUAACGCGUGGGUAAUCUACCCUUGGAUUUGGGAUAACUCUGCGAAAGUGGAGCUAAUACCGGAUAGUCUGGCUUUUAAUAGAAGUCGGUAAAGGAUGCCUCUGCAUAUGCAUUCGUCCGAGGAUGAGCCCGCGUCUCAUUAGCUAGUUGGUAGGGUAAUGGCCUACCAAGGCAACGAUGAGUAGCUGGUCUGAGAGGAUGAUCAGCCACACUGGAACUGAAACACGGUCCAGACUCCUACGGGAGGCAGCAGUGGGGAAUAUUGCGCAAUGGGCGAAAGCCUGACGCAGCAACGCCGUGUGAGGGAUGAAGGCUUUCGGGUCGUAAACCUCUGUCGGAAGGGAAGAACGGGCAUUGGUCUAAUAGGCCUUUGUUUUGACGGUACCUUUAGAGGAAGCACCGGCUAACUCCGUGCCAGCAGCCGCGGUAAUA
rnacentral:rRNA from 1 species